rnacentral:rRNA from 1 species
CGGCGACGGGUGAGUAACACGUGGGUGAUCUGCCUCGCACUCUGGGAUAAGCCUGGGAAACUGGGUCUAAUACCGGAUAUGACUUCUGGUCGCAUGGCCGGGGGUGGAAAGAUUUAUCGGUGCGAGAUGAGCCCGCGGCCUAUCAGCUUGUUGGUGGGGUAAUGGCCCACCAAGGCGACGACGGGUAGCCGGCCUGAGAGGGCGACCGGCCACACUGGGACUGAGACACGGCCCAGACUCCUACGGGAGGCAGCAGUGGGGAAUAUUGCACAAUGGGCGGAAGCCUGAUGCAGCGACGCCGCGUGAGGGAUGACGGCCUUCGGGUUGUAAACCUCUUUCGACAGGGACGAAGCGCAAGUGACGGUACCUGUAGAAGAAGCACCGGCCAACUACGUGCCAGCAGCCGCGGUAAUACGUAGGGUGCGAGCGUUGUCCGGAAUUACUGGGCGUAAAGAGCUUGUAGGCGGCUUGUCGCGUCGAUCGUGAAAACUCACAGCUCAACUGUGAGCUUGCGGUCGAUACGGGCAGGCUUGAGUACUGCAGGGGAACUGUGGGAA